UUGUUUCGUAUUUUAAUGAUAAUUAUUUGAUAUUUCUACACUGUCAAUCAAAAAUAUGCCCUGAAACUCUAAAUAAAGUGAGAAAAUUAAUCACUUAUGAAUGAUUAGAUGUUUGAGUAUAUGCUUUAAACAUUAAAAAUUAGUUAAACAGACAGACAUGUAGCAAAACUGUGCUCACGAUGAUCUGAGUUUAAUUCCUGCCUCUCUGCCGAUCCUGAUUUAAAUAGUAUUUAUUUAUUCAGCGAGCUGCUCUUUUAGUCUGAACACCUUUGACAACAGCGACACUAGAUCAGCACAGGUACACCGUUUUACUGGCGUCAAGUUGAGCUCCAGUAGCAGAUGACAGCUCAGUGACAGACUCAUAAUGUCAGUCAACAGCAGAUAUUACAGCCCGACAGUGAAGAAAAGCCACACCAAGUGCAGAAAUGGAGAGUAACGCGACUCACCUCAGUGAAGAUACACACGUGUGUCUGUUGUGUUUCUGCUGCAGAUCUUUGAGCUGCGCUCAACAGCUGACGCUCCUCCACACGCUCCUCCACAUCCAGGCGGAUUCACAGCUCCAGGAAAGCUCACACACAGGUCAGCAGUCCAAAAUCAGUUCCAGCAAGUGUUCAGACAUGGAGAUCUGUGGCUCUGUGGUAAGAGCGCUGCCCCAUGGCUUCAGGGGUUGCUGGUUCAAGGCCAGCCAGAACUCUGCGAUAUGAGUGAAUGGUGAGUGAGUGUGAGGC